UACGUAGGGGGCUAGCGUUAUCCGGAAUUACUGGGCGUAAAGGGUGCGUAGGUGGUUUCUUAAGUCAGAGGUGAAAGGCUACGGCUCAACCGUAGUAAGCCUUUGAAACUGGGAAACUUGAGUGCAGGAGAGGAGAGUGGAAUUCCUAGUGUAGCGGUGAAAUGCGUAGAUAUUAGGAGGAACACCAGUUACGAAGGCGGCUCUCUGGACUGUAACUGACACUGAGGCACGAAAGCGUGGGGAGCAAACAGGAUUAGAUACCCUGGUAGUCCCUGAGCGGG
rnacentral:rRNA from 1 species